rnacentral:snRNA from 1 species
GUGCUUACUUUGACAGCCCCCAUACUAACAUUGGAAUAAUACAGAGAAGAUAUGCACAGGCCUCUGAGCAAGGAUGACGGUCAAAAUUUUUCUUAAAAGUCUU